CACGAUCAAGACAUUGACAUCUAUUAAAAGAUUCAGAACACACUACUCAUUGCAGCCCUGUAAUGGUCAUAUUUCAUACCAUAAUAAAGUAAUCUGUCUUUCCAAAUUGAAAUUCUUUUAAUACCUUAAAUGUAUAAUGUUUUUCAUCAACGUUAUGCAUUUAAGAUUCAGAACACACUACUCAUAACAGCCCUGUAAUGGUGAUCUUUCCUACCAUAGGAAAGUAAUACGUCUUUCCAAAUUGAAAAAAAAA
rnacentral:lncRNA from 1 species